AGCGUAACAAGGUCUCCGUUGGUGAACCAGCGGAGGGAUCAUUACUGAGUUUACGCUCUACAACCCUUUGUGAACAUACCUAUAACUGUUGCUUCGGCGGGUAGGGUCUCCGCGACCCUCCCGGCCUCCCGCCCCCGGGCGGGUCGGCGCCCGCCGGAGGAUAACCAAACUCUGAUUUAACGACGUUUCUUCUGAGUGGUACAAGCAAAUAAUCAAAACUUUUAACAACGGAUCUCUUGGUUCUGGCAUCGAUGAAGAACGCAGCGAAAUGCGAUAAGUAAUGUGAAUUGCAGAAUUCAGUGAAUCAUCGAAUCUUUGAACGCACAUUGCGCCCGCCAGCAUUCUGGCGGGCAUGCCUGUUCGAGCGUCAUUUCAACCCUCAAGCUCUGCUUGGUGUUGGGGCCCUACAGCCGAUGUAGGCCCUCAAAGGUAGUGGCGGACCCUCCCGGAGCCUCCUUUGCGUAGUAACUUUACGUCUCGCACUGGGAUCCGGAGGGACUCUUGCCGUAAAACCCCCCAAUUUUCCAAAGGUUGACCUCGGAUCAGGUAGGAAUACCCGCUGAACUUAAGCAUAUCAAUA
rnacentral:rRNA from 2 species